UACAGAGGUGGCAAGCGUUGUUCGGAAUUACUGGGCGUAAAGGGCGCGUAGGCGGCCCGUCAAGUCCCGUGUGAAAGCCCCCGGCUCAACCGGGGAACGGCGCGGGAAACUAGCAGGCUUGAGUUCGGGAGAGGGAAGCGGAAUUCCUGGUGUAGCGGUGAAAUGCGCAGAUAUCAGGAGGAACACCGGUGGCGAAGGCGGAUCUCUGGGCCAUUACUGACGCUGAGGAGCGAAAGCGUGGGGAGCGAACAGG
rnacentral:rRNA from 1 species